rnacentral:rRNA from 1 species
GACAGAGGCCCCAAGCGUUCAUCGGAAUUCCUGGGCGUAAAGCGUGCGUAGACGGUUAUUUAAGUCAGGUGUGAAAGCCCCGGGCUCAACCUGGGAAUUGCAUUUGAGACUGAAUAGCUAGGGUGCGGAAGAGGGAAGCGGAAUUUCCGGUGUAGCGGUGAAAUGCGUAGAUAUCGGAAGGAACACCAGUGGCGAAAGCGGCUUCCUGGUCCAGCACCGACGUUCAGGCACGAAAGCGUGGGGAGCAAACAGG